UGAUCAAUCAAUUUGAGAAGGAAACCAUAAUGGAGACACAUGGGCGGGCAGAUAAAGCACGCGUCCUUGUGGACAUGACCUACGCCAAAGUUUUCAACAUGAGAUGAUGUGAGAUGACUGAAGAGGAGAAAAUAGCCACCUUUCAAUACCACAAUCCGGAGCCUGUAGAUUUUUCUGUUGUUUAUACCUUAUCAUAUCAUCCUUUCAAGGUUAAAAAAAAUUCUCAAUAAAUAAUCUACAUUGAA